UCGAAAGUUACAAAUGGACACAUAGGUUAAUUCGAGUAAUUUCGUUUGUGACUUGUCGGUGAUGUGUUCUAUUCCGUGUACAUGUUGGAUAACCUUAGUGUUUCUCACCAACUUACAGGAGGAAACGUAGCCUACCGUUGACUAUUUUGUUCAACAUGUGCCAUCGAAAUGACACAGGAUUCAUUAUAAUUAUCUGCUGUAAGAAUUGGACUUGCUAGAUCACCAACCCCAUCACAGACAAAUCUCUCAUUCCAUCUUCUAGAGAACCUUGGCUAACUGUUCGGUGGUUUCAAGUGUUUGAAACUAUAGGUUUCUAAAUUUGCAUGACAGACUUUAAGUACAGUCAUGUUGAAGAAAAAGGACUGACUGACAGUCAACAAUUUACACUACCUUGUUUGGUAACCUGUUGGUUGCUUCCCUUGAAUCUCCC